AAUUCAUUGAGAAUUUGAUCUUGGUUCAGAUUGAAUGCUGACGGCGUGGAUGAGGCAUGCGAGUCGAACGGAUUUUCGGGGCAACUCGAAAAUCAGUGGCGGAAGGGUUAGUAAUACAUGAGUAAUUUGCCUCAACCCUGGGGAUAACGGCUGGAAACGGCCGCUAAUACCGAAUGUGGUGGCGAAAGGCAUCUUUCGCUCAUCAAAGUGGGGGACCGUAAGGCCUCGCGGGUUGAGAAAAGUUCAUGGGAUAUCAGCUAGUUGGUGUGGUAAUGGCGCACCAAGGCUAAGACGUCUAGGCGGAUUGAGAGAUUGACCGCCAACAUUGGGACUGAGAUACUGCCCAGACUCCUACGGGAGGCUGCAGUCGAGAAUCAUUCGCAAUGGGCGAAAGCCUGACGAUGCGACGCCGUGUGAGCGAUGAAGGCCUUCGGGUUGUAAAG
rnacentral:rRNA from 1 species